CUACGGUGAUUUAAAAUUGCUGGAGCAUCAGCGAUAAAGCACCGCAAUUUGAUUGGCACCUUAGUACCAUGAAAAUCGAUACCUCCCUUAGAAAUGAUGUCUUGGACAUCUCUGAUGAAUUUACUAAAAAAAGAGCAAGGGCUAUCUGGUUUUUGGGGGCCUCUAUAAAUCCCUACAAUUACUGGCCUUGCAUAUGGCUAAAGUGAAUAUACUCCCCUGGUACUACGACAUACGUUGUAACACGAUUGCGUGGAGUGUGUACGAGAGUCCUAAUAUCCUUCGGGAAAUGAUUAAAACAUUCGUGCGUUCGAAGAAGGAUCUAUUCGACAAAGGGGGAGAAGACUGAUGAGAAAAAUCAGAAGAAAAAGUGGACUACGAAGAGGAAGACGAUGAAGAACAAGAUAAAGUCGCGCUGUCGAUUACGUUGUCUCCAGAUGACGAAGCGACGUUAUUUAAAUUAUCAGGAAUGGAAGCAUUAUCUAAAUUAACAUCAUUAAUCUGUAAAAUGGAAGAUUCAGGAGGAGAUGAAGAAAGUAUACUCUGUCUCAAACGCUUUCUGAGUCUACUUUUUUGUCUAGUCGACGAUAUUCUACACAGCGGCUUCCUCGCUAUCGAUAAUUUAGGAGAUGAGCUCAUAAUUAAACGUCUGACCUGUCAGUUUUCUGCAAUCUUGCGUACUCGUCCUAGGCUUCCCUUUGCUUCAACUUUAACUUUUCACGUAACUUUAACCUCACACUAUAACUUUAUCAGCACGUGCGACAGUAUGGGCCAGAGAAACAAGAAAAGUGACAAUCGCGAGACUUGAAAGUACGCUAUCUGCCUUCCUCACAUGACUUUUGCCGGAGGUAGAAGAACGGUGCGAGCGGGAGAUGCUUCUAUUGGACGCUCAUAUGUCAGAAGACCAGUGCGCACAAACAAUUGACAAGCGAUAGCUGUACGUAACGCAGUGUAGGAGUAACGGUUUCACUACAUCAGUUGAGUUUCGACGACGACGACGACGUGCACGUGGAAUUCAGCAUAUCAAUUUGAACAGAAGAAGCAGAAAA